rnacentral:rRNA from 1 species
UACGUAGGGGGGCUAGCGUUGUCCGGAAUCAUUGGGCGUAAAGAGCGUGUAGGCGGCUCGAUAAGUCCGCUGUGAAAGUCCAGGGCUCAACCCUGGGAUGCCGGUGGAUACUGUCGGGCUCGAGUCCGGAAGAGGCGAGUGGAAUUCCUGGUGUAGCGGUGAAAUGCGCAGAUAUCAGGAGGAACACCCGUGGCUAAGGCGGCUCUCUAGUACGGUACUGACGCUGAGACGCGAAAGCGUGGGGAGCGAACAGG